UGUAAUCUACAUCUAGUGAGCAUAGCAUUGUCUCUGCAGAAGUGUUGUCAAGCUCUUCCAGUCCCUAUAUUAAAAGCAUAAAGAAGAGAGACUUAAAUUCAAGUGUUAUCUUUGCUAUUGAUCUGCCAAAUGAUCACCUUCAUCCUGUCCCUUUUUAGGGCCUCAGUUUCUUCAUUUGUCAGAUGGUUUUGGAAGCUCAUCCCUCAUAGCUGAAUGAUAGCCAGAUGUAAGAGGAGAAGUAGAGUGCUGGUUGGAAGAAAUCCUGGAGAGAGCUGCUCCCAUCUCCUAUCUGACUUUGCCCAACAGCUCUCCAGACUCCACUUUCCACCUUCUGCAGCCAGGAAAGCCCAGCAGAUUCUCCUGGUCACUGAGGAGGCCUUCUCUGUGAAGCUCAAGUUUCAGUGGUAUGUCUGCACAUUGGUAUUGUUGGGGAAGAGGGGUUUUGGGGAAUGAAUAAAGUUUUGGAAGCCAGAUGCUAGAAUCUACCAGAGAACUCUCACAAUGGCCAUGAAGACCUACCGAGGCCUCAGAGAUCCAGGCAUUAAUCCAAGGAGAUGCUGGAGUUGUGGCUGAGGAACUGGGGCUGGUGUGUGGGGAGCCAAUGCUCGCUCCAAUGGACAUCUACUGUUUGGUCUUCCCAAAACCUCUCUUUCAGGAAUCAACUCUCCCAUACCCAAACUACAAGGUUGCAGUGGGAAAUGCCAUGUUUCUACAAUAUGACCCUAGUCCCUGGUCACUUGAUUGGUCUAGGGUCAGGUACUUAACCCAUACCAGAACAAUAAUAUUUCUGGUUUUUCCAACCAGGGAUAGAGAUGAGAGAAGAAGAGCUAUGUUAACUUCUCUCCAGCUGAUUGGUCCAAUAACAUGUAACUCUUAAGUUCUUUUGACAGCCAUAUUUUCUCCCCUGUGUGAAAGUAACAAGCAGGAGAAACUGAUCUAAUGAGAGAAUGAAAGAUGAGGACAUUCCCAGUGGCAUCUGAGUUUCUGAUUCUGCUCCAUGGCAUAUAGUAUUUCAUUCCUGAGGUUAGGCUCUAAUCUAGUCCUUUGUCUCUGUGGCAUGCCCCUGUAUCGUUAUAAUUAAGUUUCCCCUUCUUGAUAAUGCAGGUGGAUUUUUGUUAUUUAUAAUCCAAAAAAGCUAAGGAAUAAUGUGAACUUUCUUACCAGAUAAUUCAUUCAUUCAAGUGCAUCCUUCUUGUGCCACCUCCAUGCUUGGUUACCAUGAAGGUGCUGGAAAUCCAAUGAUCAAUAGUAUAGACAUAGUAUCUACCCUCAGGGACCUUAUACUUGGAGGUGGGAAAAGAGGUUAGGGCAGGGCAGACCUGGAACACAUACUAUACAGGUAAACCCCGGGUUUCUGAGAGCAUACAACAAGAUUAUGAGAGCGUACAAGGUGAGAACCAAAGGAAUGCGCAGGAGUUGACUGGAACGAGUUAGGAAUUACGAUGUAAAGGAGGGAGAGCAUCCCAGUCUGGAAGAAGAGCAUGAAUAAUCUACCAUGAAGCCAGCAUCCUCUACAAAGAAAGCAACAUUUCAGUUAAGCGUCCUGGUUUCUCAUCUACCCCUACUUUGGGCCCUCUGCUAAUACACUGGUAAGAAAACUCUUUCCUUUUGCCCAGAAGCAACCGCCUUGUCUUUUCCAGAUUCUUCUAUUCCUUAUUGAGCGAUUACAAAGGGAGAAACACAAAAUGCCCCCUCUCAUUGAUUCCCAUUUUGGUAGAGAAAGCUAGAUUUCAUCCUAAUAGCCGCUCUCCUCACCUUCCUUAUUACUAUGUUAGGGGCAGCAAAGUGGCUGGCUAAUAAAACCACAUUUCCCAACCUUACUUGUAGAGGGGGAUGGCUAAGGAGAGGUCACUGGAAGUGAUUGGAUGAGGUUUUUAGAAAGCUGUUUAAAGGGGUUAACUUAGCUAGCAAGCACCUCUUUGUCCUUUCCCCCUGUUCUUGCUUAUUUGUCCCUGGGACCAGGACUUGAUGGUUGGAGCUCCAGCAGUCAUAUUCAUCUCCGAGUUGAAGUUGUGUGCUAAGAAUGACAGAGCAGAAGGCAGGAUUCCAGUUUUUGAAAUUUGUAGAGUCCCCACACCAGCCUGGCCUGCCUGGAGACAGUUUAUCAUUUGAGAAAAUAAGUGGAAGCUCAGAAAAGUUAAGGGAAAGUCACACAGCAGUACAUUAGAGCCGGGAAGCUCUGCUUCCUAGAAUUCCUUGCAGCUGGCAUUCCAAACGUGGUUUAGAAACUGCCAAUUAAAUGAACUUACAUGAGACUGGAUCCUGGAACUAAGAGGGGGAGAGGCAGCAAGUCCUAAUACAGAGCCUGGCAUACAAGUUGGUGAAAUAAUGCAGGAAGAAAACCAACACUUUCAAACACAAUAUGUCUGUCUCAAAGCUUGCCCUGUUCAAAAUUUAUCCCUCUGAAUUCUUACUGAAGAUUAUGCGAGACAUAGCCAAGAACCAUGAAAAUGCUCAUUCCUUUGACUUGUCUUUUGUACUGUUUCCUUGGGAUUAUCACUUUUUUUCCCCAAAAGAUAGUUUACACUUUGAGAAUUAAGAUAAUUUCUUAAAAUGCAUAUGACACAAAAUUUAACAUCUCAACCAUUUCCAAGUGUAUAGCUCAAUAAUGUUUAGUAUAUUCACACUGUUGUACAAUACACAAAAAGAACUUUUUCAUCUUGCAAAACUGAAACUUCAUACCCAUUAAAAAUCUUCCCAUUCCCCACUCCUCCUGUUUCCCCUGGAAACAACAAUUCCACUUUCUGUCUCUAUUUGACUAUUCUAGAUACCUCAUAUAAGCAAAUCAUACAGUGUUUAUAUUUUUGUGACUGGCUUAUGUCAGUGCUU